CUAGGGCACUCUCGCGGGACAAUGGGUGUCACGGCAGCCAGCGACCGUUUGUCAUUCACAGCUGCCUGAAAGGAGGACCGCAGUAUUCCCACGCAGGAAGCUUGGACCAAAAGCAGGAAUGCUUAAGGGCGCAUAUGACUUGCCAUGGUAAAAAACAGGAUGCCAACCCAGGCCUGAUGACAUCCACCUCACUAAAAGCUAAGGACUAGGACUUUCUGCUUUAAACAAGGACCCACAUGUGGGUGUUUUCUGUGGGAGAGGGAGAGAGGACAUUCGAAGGGCAGAAGUCUGACCUUUGCAAGCACACGUGAACCACACCAAUGAGAAAUGAAUGGACGAGCCAGAUGCCAAUUUAUAAAUUUCCUACUGCACACCUUGAAUGUGAAAGUACAUGUGGCCGACAAAGAGAAGGGAAGAUGGAGCCGCCAUCUUCAACAGGAGUGGCACAACUGUCGGAUCUAUGUCUGCAGCUGGAUUUUACAGGCUGCUCUUCGUUAGAAAGGAAAACUUUACGGAGGACUUCCAUGCCUUCACUAUCUGCCUAAGUAAAUUCUUCUUAACUCCUGUA
rnacentral:lncRNA from 1 species